GAUGAACGCUGGCGGCGUGCCUAAUACAUGCAAGUCGAGCGAACGGACGAGAAGCUUGCUUCUCUGAUGUUAGCGGCGGACGGGUGAGUAACACGUGGAUAACCUACCUAUAAGACUGGGAUAACUUCGGGAAACCGGAGCUAAUACCGGAUGAUAUUUUGCACCGCAUGGUUCAAAAGUGAAAGACGGUCUUGCUGUCACUUAUAGAUGGAUCCGCGCUGCAUUAGCUAGUUGGUAAGGUAACGGCUUACCAAGGCAACGAUGCAUAGACGAACUGAGAGGGUGAUCGGCCACACUGGAACUGAGACACGGUCCAGACUCCUGCGGGAGGCAGCAGUAGGGAAUCUUCCGCAAUGGGGGGAAGCCUGACGGAGCAACCCCGAGUGAGUGAUGAAGGUCUUCGGAUCGUAAAACUCUGUUAUGAGGUAAGAACAUAUGUGUAAGUAACUGUGCACAUCUUGACGGUACCUAAUCAGAAAGCAACGGCUAACUACGUG
rnacentral:rRNA from 1 species